rnacentral:tRNA from 1 species
GCCGAUGUAGCUCAGUUAGAAGAGCACGUAAUUGGUAAUUACGAGGUCCGCAGUGCAAAUCUGCGCAUCGGCU